GCCGAGAUGGUGCCACUGAACUCCAGCCUGGGGACAGAGUGAGACUCCGUCUCAGAAAAAAAAAAAGAAAGAAAGAAAUACCUGAGACUGAGACUGGGUAAUUUAUAAAGAAGAGAGGUUUAUUGACUCACGGUUCUGCAGGCUGUACAGGAAGCAUAGCAGCUUCUACUUCCAGGGAGGCCUCAGGAAACCUACAACCAUGGUAGAAAGCAAAGCGGGAGAGAAGCGUCUCAAAUGGCGGGAGCAGGAGCAAGAGUUGGGUGGGGGUGCUACACACUCUUAAACAACUAUAUCUCAUGAGAACUCACUAUCAUGAGAACAACACAAGAAGAUGGUGCUAAACCAUUCAUGAGGAUCCACCCCCAUGAUCCUGUCACCUCCCACCAGGCCCCACCUCCAACACGGAGGAUUACAAGUGAACAUGAUAUUUGGGUGGGGACACAGAUCCAAACCAUAUGUUGGUCUAUCCACAUCACGGAAUAUUAUUCAGCUAUAAAAAGGCAUGAAACACUGAUCCAUGCUCCACCAUGAGUAAGCCUCAAAAACAUUAUGCUAAGUCCCAGCUGGGCUCAGUGGCUCACGUCUGUAAUCCCAACUUUGGGAGGCCUAGGUGGGAGGAUCACUUGACCCCAGGAGUUCCCGACCAGCCUGAGCAACAUAGUAAGACCUUCUUGUCUCCUCAAAAAAUAAAAAUAAAAAAAAUUACCCGAGUAUUGUGCUGAACACCUGGGGCCCCAGCUACUCAGGAGGCUGAGGCAGGCAGGAGGAUCACCUGAGCCCAGGAGGUCGGAGCUGCAGUGAGCUGCGAUUGCGCCACUGCCCUCCAGCCUGGGUGACAGAGCAAGACCCUGUCUCGAAAAAAAAAAAAAAAGUUACACUAAGGGCAAGAAACCAGACACAAAAACCACAUAAUUCCAGUCAUAUGGAAUGCCCAGAAUAGGUAAAUCCAUACAGACAGAAGCUAGAUUAGUGGUUGCCAGAGGCUAGGGGAGGGAAGGAUGGCGGGUGGUGGCCUAACUGGGCUUCCUUUUGAGACAAUGGAAAUAUUUUGAAACUUGAUAAUAGAGGUGGUGGUUGCACAACGUUGUCAGUGUACUAACAGCUAUUGAAUUGUACACUUUAAUAUAGUUUUUCUUUUUGAAUUUUUUUCUUCUUUUUACAUAUAUUUUGUUUAUUGGCCUCCAGCUUUGCAUAAUGUGGUAUAUUUUAUGUUUUGUAAAUUUUACCUCAAUAUAAAUAAACAUAUACAUUUUCAAAACAUUUUUAAAUGUGUGUGAUGUUCUGAUGAAGAAAACUCAGGCCCUCGAGCCCAGCAGUCUGUUUCCAGUCCCAACUCAGCCAUGUGCCAGCUUUUGUGUGUGUGUGUGUGUGUGUGUGUGUGUGUGUGUGUGUGUCAUGGAGUUUCUCUCUUAUCGCCCAGGCUGGAGUGCAAUGCAGCAAUCUUGGCUCACUGCAACCUCCGUCUCCCGGGUUCAAGCAAUUCUCCUGCCUCAGCCUCCCGAGCAGCUGGGAUUACAGGCAUGCACCACCACACCUGGCUAAUUUUGUAUUUUUAGUAGAAACCUCAGGUGAUCUGCUCACCUCGGCCUCCCAAAGUGCUAGGAUUACAGGCAUGAGCCACUGCGCCCAGCCCAUGCGCCAGCUUUAUAACCUUGAACAUGUUCCUUAACCACUCAAAGGCUCAGUUUCCUCACCUGAAAAAGGAAGGAUAUGUAGUUCCUUUUCUUUUGGUUUUGUUUAGUUUUGUUUGAGACAGGGAUCUCAUGCCGUUGGCCAGGCUGGAAUGCAGUGGUGCGAUCACAGCUCACUGCAACCUUGAACUCCUGGGCUCAAGCAAUCCUCCCACCUCAGCCUCCAGAGUAGCUGAGACUACAGGCACAUGCCACCAGACCUGGUUAAUUUUUAAACUUUUUGUAGAGAUGAGGUCUCACUACGUUUUCCAGGCUGGUCUCAAACUCCUGGGCUCAAGCAGUUCUCCCGCUUCGGCCUCCCAAAGCUCUGGGAUUACAUAUAGUUCCUUUCCAUGAGUUUGUUGUGAAGAUUAAACAACACAUUUAUCACAAUUAAGAUAGCAUCAGGAUCAGAGUGAGGGUUUUGUAGCAAAGUUUUUGUUUGGUUUUGUUUUGUUAUUUGGAAUCAAUGGAGCAAAAGCAAACACACACACACACACACACACACACACACACAAACACACACAGAGCCUUUGAAGUGAGACACGCGUUUGAAUUUUGGCUCUGCCACCUACAACCUGGACCACAUUGGGUAAAGCUGUUUAGACUCUCGAAUCCUCAGUUUCCCAGCUCCUUAAGUACAGGAUCUCAUCUGACCUUCCUCAUUAAUACUGAAUGACUUCAAUUUAAGCAACGCCUGCAUAUAUGACUGCUCACUAAAAUAUUAUCUGUUGAGGCUGGCGUGGUGGCUCACUCCUGUAAUCCCAGCACUUUGAGAGGCCCAGGCAGGCGGAUCACUUGAGGCCAGGAGUUCAAGACCAGCCUGGCCAACAUGGUGAAACUCCGUCUCUACUAAAAAUACAAAAAUUACCCAGGCAUGGUGGUGCACACUUGUAAUCCCAGCUACUCAGGAGGCUGAGGCAGGAGAAUUGCUUGAACCCGGGAGGCAGAGGUUGUAGUGAGCUGAGAUUGCGCCACUGCACUCCAGCCUAGGCGACAGAGCGAGACUCCAUCUCAAAAUUAAAAAAAAAAAAAAUCAUUGAAAUGAUAAAAUAGAAUCUUAACUUUUCCAGUUAUUUUACAGGUUAUGAUAAUCAAACAUGUGACAACAUUAAGCACCCUGGUAGAGGCAAGAUUUGCCAGGCGGCUCUCACAUACCCCUGCCUCCCACAAUACUACCCCCGCCUCCCAUGAUAUGAUGAGAUGACAAGGCACUUUACCUCUGCAUUAUACUCCACAAAACCCGUAAUCCCAGACAAUCAUGAGAAAACAUCAGACAAACCCAGAUCAGCAGACAUUCUACAAAACACCGAGUCCUUCCCAACACUGUCCACGGAAUGAAAAACAAGGAAAAUCUAAGAAAUGGUCACAGACGAGAGAAGACUACAAGAGGCAUGAUGACUGAAUGCAAGGGUCUCACUCUGCUGUCCAAGCUGGAGUGUGGUGGUGCCAUCAUGACUCACUGCAGCCUUGGCCUCCCAGGCUCAAGCGAUCCUCCUGCCUCGGCCUCCAGAGUCUCUGGGACUACAGGCAUGUGCCAGCACCCCUGGCUAACUUUUUUGGUAUUUUUUGUAGACACAGGGUCUCACUAUGUUGCUUAGGCUGCUCUCAAACUUGUGGGCUCAAGCAAUCCUCCCACUUCAGCCUCCCAAAGUGCUGAGAUUACAGGCAUGAGCCAUCAUGCCUGGCCUCUUCAGUGUCUUUUUAUUGACCACAAGAUAAUGCCCACAUUUUCUUAACCAGCUCACCACCACCUCCUCAGCCUCUUCGUACCCUUUCCUGGCAGAAAACUCCUUACUCAAGGGCAUCCCCCUCCUGAUGAUCCCCGAAAUGUGCCUUGUUGCCUUUAACCUCCUCCCAAGAGGGAAGUUCAGAGGCAACAGCCGGUGCAAACCCUCCCAGAUCCUUGUGCAAGCCUCAGAUUAGACAGCUCUUCUUCUAGGAAGCCCUCCCAACCCUCCUCCUGGGGGUCGGGGGCACUGACAGAUGAAGCCUUCCAGAAAUGGCAAUCAAGUUCAAUGAGGUGGGAGGAGCAGCUCCGGUCAACCCCGUCGGUGUCUCCGCAUGAAUAUUCAGCCUCAUUUGGAAUUAACAUCAAUGAUGCAAUGGCCCUCGGGUCAGACACCAUGAAGGAAAACACAGCUGUGCUAAGUCCAGUCACUUAAACCCUCUGCUAAACCUCCCCACAGCUUCCCAUCACACCUAGAGCAAAAGCUAAAAAUUGGGCUGGGUAUGGUGGCUUACGCCUAUAAUCUCAGCAUUUUGGCAGGCCAAGGUGGGCAGAUCACCUGAAGUCAGUAGUUCAAGACCACCUGGCCAACAUGGUGAAACCUCAUUUCUACUAAAAAUUACAAAAAUUAGCUGAGCAUGGUGGCACAUGCUUGUAGUCCCAGCUACUUGGGAGGCUGAGGUGAGAGAAUCUCUUGAACCCGGGAGUUAGAGGUUGCAGUGAGCUGAGAUCGCGCCAUUGCACUCCAGCCUAGGCGACAAGAGAAACAUUCCGUCUCAAAAAUAAAAUAAAAUAGGCCGGGUGUAGUGGCUCACGCCUGCAAUCCCAGCACUUUGGGAGGCCGAGGCGGGUGGGUCAUGAGGUCAGGAGUUCAAGAACAGCCUGGCCAAGAUGGUGAAACCACGUCUCUACUAAAAAUACAAAAAACUUAGCUG
rnacentral:lncRNA from 10 species